rnacentral:pre_miRNA from 1 species
UAAAUUGACUAUAGAUGAAUUGGAGCUGGUAGUGGACUAUACUAUUAAACUUGCUCUUAGAGCAGGUUCAAUAGUAUAGCCAACUACUAGCUCCAAUUCAUUUAUAAAC